GGUCCCAUAGCUCAGUAGGUUAGAGCGUCGUACUAAUAAUUGGAGUCCUCCAAAUGUUGGUGAUGCGAAGGUCUCAGGUUCGAGCCCUGGUGGGACCA
rfam:Hirsutella minnesotensis 3608 unplaced genomic scaffold MNSD_Scf_9, whole genome shotgun sequence.